GAAAUAUUUAAUAAUGCAUGAUUAUGUUUCCUGCUCGUUGUUGCUUCCAGCACCUUAUUGCAUGCAUGCUGCGUGACUUUCGCGGAGGUCAAGCAGUGUUAUAAAAGCGAGGGUGCCUAGAGGGUAGAGCAUACCUUGCUGGUGCAGUUCAAGUGUUCUCCAGUUUUGACGAAGAAGCGUUGAUCUUAGUUCAGUCCAAGAACAAAAGAAACUUGUUAAGGUAUGAUGAUACUAAAAUCAAUUCAAUAAAUCGAAAUGUAUGAAAAGAGCUUUGCACGAGAUUUCAUUCCAAAGCCAAAUACACUAGAUAUUCUUAGCUCAAAGUAAAGCGGUAAAAGGGGUUGAAUAUCUCACAGGUCAGGUGAAAUAUUGGCACCACCAGAGAAGGAAAAUUAACGUAGAUCGCAUGUAUGAUUUUCAAACAAUUAUGCUAUCGAAUAUCCCUAAGCAGAGAUGAGCUAAGCUAAGAAGCUAUCGAAUAUCCCUAUGCAGAGAUGAAAACUAGAUUGCAGGUAUUCAAGCAAGUUAAGUUAUAUGCGAGCUGAACCGAAACGCACAAAACAUAUAAAAUUUUAUACUACAAGUUUCCAUCGCAAAAGAAGUGAAGCCAUUGGAACUGUUCUCACAAAAGGGUUCUAUUCAAGGAAGAUUAAUUGUUGUUAGGUCUUUAAUUCAUUCGGUUUAUGCUUUCUUUAGAUCAGUUAUGAUUUACAACGAAUUACCAGCUACUUUAUACUAUAAAGUCAUAUACCACUGCUGAGUUGUUUAAAUACAUAAAUACUGCAGCUGAAAAUACAACUGAAAAUUGAAAAUGAAUUGAUCGAGGCUGGUGCUUGUUGAAUAUAGUUUGAUAAUGCUGGAACCUCUUCGUAUACAAUCUUAAACACACCAGGUGUGUCUAAGAAGAUUGUAUACAAUGACCACUCACAUCGAAUGUUCAUUUAAGCUGAAGCAUGCUAGAACUGAAAGAAACUAACUCAACUGCAACUUCUAUACUACCAGAAUUUAUAUUUAACUCUAACAUUAUAGAUGUAUCUGAUCAUUGGUCCUUAUUGCUUUUUAAAGAAUCGCUUGCCAUUCGACAUUUUAAACCUGAACUCGCGAAUGUGAUUCACCUUAUUAUUAUCUGUCCAUUUUAUAAUCAUACCAACCACACCUUUCACCCCCCUUGCAAGCUUUACUCAAGAUUCAGGAUUAAUUUUUUUCACUUUCACAAGAUUCAAGAUUUAUUUAUUUUAAGUAUGGCACCAAGCUAAUAAUAUUACGAGUUUUCAUCUUUGUAACGGCUUAACACCUACUUCGCCAUGUCUAGUUCUUGCUUAUACAAGCACCUGUCAAAGAAUGAAAUGAUUUGCCUAUGACCCUGAAGAUUGACUAUUUCAAUGAACAAAUUUAAACGAGAAUGGCCUUAACUCUUAUUUACGUAGCAUUGAAUAUAGCUCUUAGAUACUUUACUGACAAAUUUUAGCUCUUAGUUUGAGGUUCUCUCAGGGGUUGUUACUGGGAACAAGGAACUAACAAAGCAUAUUUUGCAAUGGGAUCAAUGGGGACAAAGUCGAAAAUCACAGGGAACAUUUAAGCUUGCAUGGGGACACGGGGACAUGAUGAAAUCGUUUUUGAGAACAAGGAAACAAAGGAAAAGUUUUCAAGUAAACAAGGGAACACAAACGCCUCUGAGAGACCCUUAGUCUUAAUUAAUUCAGUUUUUAUCCUACACACAGAUUGUGUAGAACUUAUUAUUGACCAAGGUAACCCUGUAAUGAGAUAUAUUUUCCCUGUUUGAGGUUCUCCUCAGUAUUAAUCUUCUAUUUAUACUGGGAAUUAUUAAGGAGUCAGAUUAAAAAGAUAUUGUAAAUAAAAACUGUAAUUAACAUAUAUACUUGCCCGCACAAGUCAAGUAAAUAUUUGCGUUCAUAAAAUAAACACUCUUUCUAAUGGUAGGGAAAAUAUUUUAAUAUGCAAUUAAGGCGGCAGAAAAUAUUCUAAUCUGCAAUUAAGGCUGCAGAAAUAUUCUAAUCUGCAAUAAAGCCAGUGGAACCAGCAAACAUUGUCCAAAAAUGGCACAUUUUUCCAAAGCUACAGACACAGGGAGUGGGAACAAUAUCGAGAAGUAUGUUGGGUCCAAUAUCACCAUAGACCUUCAUCACGCUUUUUGAAUCCAUCUAAAACUUCAUGUUAGCAUUCUGGAAAUACGAGAAAUGAAAAGAGCAGGUCAAAGUUAGCAAGGACAGAAAAAUUGUUGGCGUGAGUUUGAAAACUGUGGCGUUAUUUUUAAAAACAUAUUUUAAUUAAAAUAUAUUGGGGUUUGCAUUGGAUCGAGGCUUGAUGGCAUACAGCCCGUUUAAUACAAAACAUCCAUGCAUUUCCUAUUAAAUUGUCUGUUUUUAAAAACGAUGCUAGUGCCACAGUUUUCAAAAUAUAGUCACCGGAUUUUGUGUUCUUACUAAUAUUCACCUGCUGUUCUCAUGUUUGACAAUUAUAGUGGUAUUUUUUGUGUGUGUUGGUGUAAUGUACUCAGGUGAAUAUGAUGUUUGUGAUGUUACUCUGAGUGUGUAUCCACACCGGGCAAGCUGAAUGCGUGGCAUGGCCACGGUGGGAAUCACAAACAUUUAUAGUGCAUGUUUCCUCAAAACACGGGAAAAGUCUAUUACGGGAAGACUUUGUUGUUCUUAAAAAAACACGUAUAUGUCAUACAAUAUAAUAUGUGUUGCAAUAUAACUCAUUACUGUAGCUUUGUGGGUUAUGAUAAUCUCAUGGGUGAAACACUUAGAAUACAAAGAAACUUACGUAAUACACUUUUGUGAAAACCUAGGAAACACUGUUUUACACUCUAAUAUGAGAAUUACAUUUGUAUUUACUAUUGAGUGCAUUAAUUACAUUGUAAAAAUAAGAAGUCAUGCAGAUAUCAUAAUUGUUUAACAGCUAGUGCCGAGGUAUGUUCUGACCCACCCUGUCAAGAUUCCUUGUGGGAAGAACCGGAGUAUAUACUUGGAGAAAACCCACGAUCAUGAGUCAACUUCUACGACUAUUGCUCCUUUAUCCUUGAUAUUAGAUCGUUCUAUGACGGUGUGUCAGUUUCAUUCAGCCUGUCGACAUUUUCUGUGGGAAGAAAUGGGAGUAGUAGCUCGAUCAAAACCCACAACAUGGCCGAACGUCAUUCUACUACCCACCCUGUAAAACAUUCCCUGGGGAAGGAAACCAGAGUACUUGGAAAAAACCCACGACUUUCGUCAGAGCCACGGAUCGCAGAAGUGAAAAAAGCUUGCUCGGAUGACAACAGCGCCAGCCAAACCCUUUGGUACUCUAUCUUAACCUUGAUAAACCUUCUAUGUAGCAUGAUUUUUCCUCUAUUACUUUUAGAUUAAUAGACUAUCCCAAACAUUCUAUCACAAGCAUGCAUGCAUCGUUGGGAUUGGGAUUGGCACACGUUAACAAAGACGCUGGCAACUUUUUGGAACUUUGGCUGGACUUUGUAUAAUUUGUCACGAAAAUGUAUAUGCAUAAAAAGACUGUUUAUUACUGCAAGAAAUAGUUCCUAUACCCUAGACGUAAUACGUACUUUGCACACUUUACGAAAACAAUAAAGAAAUUCCUGCACAAACAAAAUUUUCUUUAUCAUUUUAACUCAAAUAGUUUCUAAACCGAUGAUUUGGAAACACACAAAACGUAACGGCAGAUACAGGAGUGUCAACGCUUCCUAUGCGAACAUUAAUUUUAUAUAUAUAGCUAAUGGCCUACAAAAACACUUCCCUAAUGAGAAGAUAUAAGAGGACACUUGAUAGUCAAAUGGUUAUAUGGUUAGAGAGCAUUUGCAGUUAAUGGUUAUGGUGUAAAGUCCUACAGUGUAUUUAGCAAGGCAUACUGAAAUAGUUAAAUGGCAAUAGAGGGCAUUUUCAGCUAAUGAUUAUCUAGUAAACUGUAAGGCAUUUGGAAUUGUUCUGUACUUCAAUAUUUAUUUAGGUACUUGUAAGUUUGCAGUCACGCGACCUUAGUCAGCUGUUCUUAAUGCUUUUCCAACACUAUCAUGUAUUCUAUUGAAGUUAAAACAUAGUUGGAACAUUCAUCAAACCUUUAUUUUGUUAAUCUAGAGCUUGAAAUGUCCCCUGUAACAAUGCGUGACUACCAACACUCAGCAACUCUCAACCUCGUUUAAGUGGGGCUUUAUAGUAGUUGAAGCAACUAUACAGUAUAGCAAAAGGGUAUUUCAGUUAAUGGUUCUAUCUACUAUAAAGCAUUUAGCUGUAGGAGGAGAAAGUAACAAUAGGAC
rnacentral:lncRNA from 1 species